rnacentral:rRNA from 1 species
CAUAGCAGAUAUAUAACAGAUAUACCACCAGCAGUUCAGACUAGGAAAUCCAUCUGAAGCUAAGCAGGUUUGGUUCUGGCCAGUACUUGGAUGGGAGACCAAUAAGGAAAGUGGGUUGCUGCUGAAA